GAUGGUCAUGGACGAGCAAUGAACAACAGACCACCUUAGAGCAGGUUCUUGAGCAACUGAGGAUACCGUUCCAGCACCCUCCCAGAGCAUUUGUGGUUGACAAAGACUAUGCUGAAAUUAAUGCUUUAUCAAGCAUUUUCCCUGAAUCUUAUAUCCUUUUGUGCUGGUAUCACUUCUUGCAGGCUGUUCAAAGAUGGUUAUCCAAAACAGAGUUUGGAGUGCAUGGACCUUCCAACUUGAACAUUGAAUUUCUUUCUUUUGCAAACUGAAGACCUGUAAAACUGAGGCAGAAUUUGAGACCACAGCCAAGAAGUUCAACAAAAUGUUCAGACAACACCCAGCUGAGUGGCAGUAUUUCACAAGACACUGGGAAGAGAUUGGUCACAUGUAGUCCGAUUACGGACGUUGCUUUGAGCAUUUGAACACUGAUACGAACAAUGUCAUUGAACGGCUCAAAUACCAGUUUCUUGGAGGCGUUAGGAAUCUGCGUAUACUGUAGAUGACCUAAUACAUGUCCUCCUUGAAAAAGCAGAUUACUUCAGCAUAAUGAGGGAGUUACAGUAUGCUGGGCGUGUGAAGAACAAAUUCAGCCACCCCCCCUCUUUGCAGACAGAAGCAACAACUGAAUGUGUUAACGACAGUUUGGCACCGAUUUCUUCACACAGUGCAGUGUCAUUGCCAACCUUAGCAAGUGGUACCCAUGUGUAACUACUGUUGAGAAAUUAGUGUUGCAAAAAUCAUCAGUAGCUGGACAGAAACUCCUGAUCCAAUAAAGGAAAUGAUUGAUGGGUUACAUUUUCAUGUUUUAGAGGCAGA